rnacentral:lncRNA from 1 species
UUUCAAGACAUAUAGAAAAUAGAAUAAAAGAAUCAUUUUGAUUUUGUUUGAUGAUACAAACUGGAGCAUAUUAUGAUCUAAGCUGUGUGUUCACUGUUGGCACAUUGAAUGAUUGGAUAAAUAAUGCUCUAUUGGAUAAAUACGUAAAGUUCAUUGGACAGCUGUGAUUGUGGUGUGGACAGCUAAGAUUGUGUUUUGGACAGCUGAGAUUGUGACUUGGACAGCUGAGAUUGUGGUGUGGACAGCUGAGAUUGGUGUGGACAGCUGAGAUUGUGGUGUUGACAUCUGAUAUUGUGAUUUGGACAGCUGAGAUUGUGACUUGGACAGCUGAGAUUGUGCUGUGGACAGCUAAAAUUGUGGUGUGGAAUAAUGAUAUUGUGGUGUUGACAACAUAUUGUGGUGUGCACAUGUGAUAUUGUGGUGUGAUGGUUUAAAGUAGCAAAGGUAAAGAACGUUUGACAGCUUAGAUUUUGGUGUGGACAGCUGAUAUUGUGGUGUGGACAGCUGAGAUUGUCAUGUGGACUACUUAUAUUGUGGCUUGCAGAGCUGAUAUUGUGGUGUGAUGGUUUAAAGUACUAAAGGUAAAGAACGUUUGACAGCUUAGAUUUUGGUGUGGACAGCUGAUAUUGUGGUGUGGACAGCUGAGAUUGUCAUGUGGACUACUUAUAUUGUGGCUUGCAGAGCUGAUAUUGUGGUGUGAUGGUUUAAAGUACUAAAGAUUUAUUCCUUACUACCUUCCUGUCAACUAUAUCUUCCACAGCAUGAUUUAAUCUAGUCCCAAUCAUUGACUCUGGUUACCUCACCAGACGGUCCGUCCACAGAGUCACAAGCAACAGAUACUAAAACUCGGCAAAGUACAUG